CAGCCGCACGGUAAUACGUAGGGUGCAAGCGUUAAUCGGAAUUACUGGGCGUAAAGCGUGCGCAGGCGGUUUUGUAAGACAGAGGUGAAAUCCCCGGGCUCAACCUGGGAACUGCCUUUGUGACUGCAAGGCUGGAGUGCGGCAGAGGGGGAUGGAAUUCCGCGUGUAGCAGUGAAAUGCGUAGAUAUGCGGAGGAACACCGAUGGCGAAGGCAAUCCCCUGGGCCUGCGCUGACGCUCAUGCACGAAAGCGUGGGGAGCAAACAGGAUUAGAUACCCCAGUAGUCCCUGUCUCUUAUACA
rnacentral:rRNA from 1 species